rnacentral:tRNA from 1 species
GAUAAUGAAGUAAAAAUUACAUUUAGUUUCGACCUAAAAUUAGGAUAAAUCUUUCCCUUAUCU